rnacentral:lncRNA from 1 species
CGACGUGUCGCUGACGCUGGGCCUGCAGCACGCCGGCGCCGGCAACGCCGGGCCCGACGGCAGCGGCCGCUUCUCCUUGCGAGACUACAGUGGUUGCUGAUCAUUUCUGCAUACUACACACCUACCUAUCCAUCCAUGAUUUGGCUCAUCCAUGCAUUGCACUUGGAGCACUAGAGUGAGAAGAAGAUCUAGAGAGAGAAACAAAAAAAGUUACAGCAAGGAGAGAGAAAUUAAAAGAGAUCAAGCAUCAGAG